rnacentral:lncRNA from 1 species
UGCUAGUCGUGCUUGGAGAACCUCUGAUCAGUGAUUCAGGAGAUCAGUGCUCUUUUAUUUCAUUGAAGAAUGCUUACAAAGCACUUUCAAUGGGUCAGAUAAUAAAGUCAUUUAAUUAUCAUAGUAAUGCUAUAAUUUGACACCAUCUUUAUUCCCAUUUUAUUGUUGAGGAAACUGAGAGAGAUAAAAUAAUUUGCUCAAGGUAACAAGGCCAGUGAGCAGCAGAGCUUUGGUUUAAACCCAGCAGGCAACCUCCAAAUGUGAGCUAUCACCCCUAUCCUCUGCUGCCUUCCUGCUGAGUUUCAAUAGCACAAACAAGAUGUGAGUGUGGGAGGGUGUGGAGGGGACAGAGAAGAGAGUAAUUCAUUUAAGCUUGGGGGUCCUAAGAAAGUGGUAGAAAAGAAUUUGAGGGUGUUGAAAACAUUUUCACUAGGUCAUAAAGAAAACAUAAAUUUUGACACGCUGUGACAGCAGGAAGAAUAUUCCAGGCUCUGGAAGAAAACCAUACAAUAAAACAAGAUGAAGAAAAGUGCAUGAAAUAUUAUGUGAAUGAGGAGUCUGGCUUGAUUGAGGCAUAGUUUGCCUAGAUAUGUUGAGCGAGAAAUGUAGCUAGAACAUAUUGGGAUGUGAAAGGAAAAUAUCUUGAGCCCCCAAAAUCACUAAGCUAAAAGGAAAAUUCAAGCUGGGAACUGCUUAGGGGAAAUCUGCCUUGCAUUCUAUUCAAAGUCAUCCCUCUACUAACAGAUAAAUGCAUAUCUGAUGCCUCCUUUGGAAAGGCUAAUCAGAAACUCAAAAUAAUGUAACCAUUUGUCUGUCACUUACCUGUGACCUGGAAGCCCCUUCCCUGCUUCCAGUUGUCCUGCCUUUUGGAUAAAACCAGUGUUCAUUUUACAUAUGUUAAUUGAUGUCUCAUGUCUCCCUAGAAUGUAUAAAACCAAGCUGUGUUCUGACCACCUUGGACAAAUGUCAUCAGGACCUCCUGAGGCUGUGUCAUGAGUGUGCAUCCUCAACCUUGGCAAAAUAAACUUUCCAAAUUAACUGAGACCUGUCUCAAGUUUUGUGGGUUCACAGAGAGAAUAGAUCAAAAGGGACUUGACUACCUGCCAAGAUUAGUUUGAAUUUUCCUUGUGAUAAGAGAUGAAUGAAGAGGAGUCACUGAGGUGUUUUAAGUAUGAAUGGAGCAAAGCUCACUAUCAUUUUGGCAUCAAUGUGGAGAAUGGAUGGAGGAGGAGGAUAUUAGUCAGAAGACUGCACAAGAUUCCAAUUAAGGGAUGAUGGCAGCCUUGGACUCAGGAAGUUGGUGUUGGCUACCAACUGGGAGCUUAGCUGAGUUGCUGACCUAAGCACUUAUGUGUGACCUCUUUGUGUGACUUGGAUUAACCACAGCAUGGCACUGGGUUCUGAGGAAGGACAUCCAUACCAACAAACAUUCUCUAAGAGGCACAGGUGGAAAUCCCAAGUCCUCCAAAAGUGAUGCUUGGAACCGGCACAGUGUCACAUCCACAAAAUUCUAUUGACCAAAGGACAGCCUGGAGUCCACGGGAUGAAUAGACAGACUAUGCUUCUUGAUGGGAGAAUGGUACUUUCAUACAAGAGGAAAAGAGUUGGUGGUGGUCCUCUCAGAGGGGAGCUACCUCAAUAAUUACAUUAGGAAAAAAAUAUGUAACCCAGGAUUACCCCAGGGACUGCCAUCCAACCUCACUCUCAGUUUCCUUUUCUGUAAAAUACGGGUAAUAAUAAGGUAACUUUCAUUGAACUGCAGUAAGGAUUGAAUGAAGUAAUCCUGGUGAAACCUGAGACCCUGUGUCUGGCACAGAGUGGCGGGUGCUGGAUGAGCUCUGACUGUUUUGUGGUCCCAUGUUGAUUGUACUAUUCAUUCUCUUCAUUGCCAUUGCUCAGACUGGGCCCUCAUUGUCUCUCAGCUGAUAGUUAUAAAAGUGGUUGGACCAGACUUUGUUUCUAUUUUCUAUUCUUGUCCAUCUGCCCUUCAGAUGAUCAGCAGUAUGUCUUACUCGGCCCUGUUCCUACCAUGCCCCUCCCCUCCUCUCAUGACUGCAGCAUGUCCUAACAUGGGUGCAAAGUACAAACUAGCUUUCCUGGCAUUGUAAGCCUGUGCUCCAGACAAACUGGACAAGCUAUUCUUGCUAUAAAUGGUCACUCCUCUGCUGCCUGCUUAGUUCCAGGCUGCUUUUUCUUCCAAGAAUGCCCUUUCCCAAGUCCUGUGUGCCUAGCUCCCCAUCCUUCAAGGCUUAUCUAAAAGCUGACCAUACUCUCUCAUUUGCCUCUUCAUCUCAUCCAUACAAGUUGUAAGGCACUGGGGAAAUUCUACCUUGCAUUAUAAUGACUGGAAUACACGGAUGCUUCAGGACUGGAGGGAGAGAAGGAGAAAAAGGAGAGAGAAUGAAGUAUAAUAUUUUAAAAAUGUUAACUAUUUUUUUUUCCAAUUCUAUCAUCAUUUGGUUCUCUUUAAUCUAAGCUGUUCAUUAAGUGCCUCCAAAAAAGGAUAUGGCAGCAGUAAGAUUGUUUUGAGAGUCAAGAUCUUAAAACUUAGUGGCCAAUAAAUAAAAAUCCAAGGCAUAGAGAAUAAAACUGGAAUAUGUGAAGACAAGAGAAAGGCUUCUAUAAUGAGACCAGAUAAUAAUUUCCCCAGGCUUUGUUGAUGGGAAGGAGGGAGUAGAAUGUGCAAAGGGCGAGGGGAAUGUGUGGCCCCAACUGAGGGGCCAGAACUGAGCAGACUUUCUUGGAGGAGUAGAAUCAGCAGCCCAAGAUAGUUCAGCUUCUCACGAGUGCAUGCUGUUCUUGUUGCAUCUUGAGGGGCUACACUGAUGAUGCCAUCAUUAGUGUCCAUAGCACAGCCAGAGAUUGCCCAUGAACCGUUCAGCAGGAGUGGUUCCCAUGUCUGCCUUAACCCUUUGCUUGGUCCUUGCCUUAUUUACCCUGUGGAACAACCACCCUCACUGCCUUCGUCCUUCACCCACAAGAGAGAAGGUGGGUCCUGGUUAUCAACAGGUGGAGAAUGUAUGGAAGGAAAAGUCCCUGAAACUGUGAUAUGGUCAGAGCAGAGCAGAUACAAUCUGAGAAAUCUCAAGCUCAAACAGGGGCCAGUCUCAGCCCUGCACCAUUGUUAUUGUCAUAAAUAAUAAUCCAUAGAUACUUAUGGAAUAUAA